CGUCUAUAUACGUAUAGCAUAUCAAUAAGCGGAGGAAAAGAAACUAACCUAGGAUUCCCUCAGUAACGGCGAGUGAAGCGGGAAGAGCUCAAAUUUGAAAUCUUCAAGGUUCUACCUUGACGAAUUGUAGUUUAAAGAAGUGUUUUCUGUUGGAGUUUUGGUAUAAGUUCUUUGGAAUAGGACAUCAUAGAGGGUGAGAAUCCCGUAUUUGACCAUUAUUUCCAACUUUGUGAUACACUUUCAAAGAGUCGGAUUGUUUGGGAAUGCAGUCCAAAAUGGGUGGUAAAUUUCAUCUAAAGCUAAAUAUUGGCGAGAGACCGAUAGCGAACAAGUACCGUGAGGGAAAGAUGAAAAGAACUUUGAAAAGAGAGUUAAACAGUACGUGAAAUUGUCAAAAGGGAAGCGUUUGACACCAGUGUUGUUUUCUCGAAAAUCAAUUAAAAAUGGUGGGAUUUUGUGUUGUAUUGACUUUAUCAGCUUUCUGCACUUUUUUCCUGAUCUUUUUUAAUGCACUUUUCGUUUAACAAGUCAACAUCAAUUUCUUUUGUUGUAAAAGGGUCAUUGGAAGGUGGCUUUCUUUUCGGAGAAAGUGUUUAUAGCCUUUGACCUCUGCAAUCGGAGAGAUUGAGGUCUGCAGCGUAGAUCCUUCGGGGUUAGAUACAGUUAGAUGCUAAGUUAUAGCCUUUUUCAUAGACAACUUGUUGACUAUAAUCAUCACUGUAGCUUACUCGCUUAUGGUUAUUUUACCUACGCUUAGGAUGUUGACGAUCAGCUGAGCGCG
rnacentral:rRNA from 1 species